UACAGAGGUCUCAAGCGUUGUUCGGAUUCAUUGGGCGUAAAGGGUGCGUAGGCGGCGCGGUAAGUCGGGUGUGAAAUCUUGGAGCUUAACUCCGAAACUGCAUUCGAUACUGCCGUGCUUGAGGACUGGAGAGGAGACUGGAAUUUACGGUGUAGCGGUGAAAUGCGUAGAUAUCGAGAGGAACACCUGCGGCGAAGGCGGGUUGCUGGGCCGACACUGACGCUGAGGCGCGAAAGCUAGGGGAGCGAACGGG
rnacentral:rRNA from 1 species